rnacentral:tRNA from 3 species
GGGCUCAUAGCUCAGUUGGUUAGAGCGCGCCCCUGAUAAGGGCGAGGUCGGUAGUUCGAAUCUACCUGGGCCCACCA